rnacentral:rRNA from 1 species
UUCGUAGGUGGUGCGGCAAGUUGGAAGUGAAAUCUCUGGGCUUAACCCAGAGGCUGCUUUCAAAACUGCCGUGCUCGAGUGCGAGAGAGGCCAGUGGAAUUGCAGGUGUAGCGGUGAAAUGCGUAGAUAUCUGCAGGAACACCCGUGGCGAAGGCGGCUGACUGGAUCGCAACUGACACUGAGGAACGAAAGCUAGGGAGCAAACA